GUAGGUGGCAAGCGUUGUCCGGAAUUAUUGGGCGUAAAGCGCGCGCAGGCGGUUCUUUAAGUCUGAUGUGAAAGCCCACGGCUCAACCGUGGAGGGUCAUUGGAAACUGGAGAACUUGAGUACAGAAGAGGAAAGCGGAAUUCCACGUGUAGCGGUGAAAUGCGUAGAGAUGUGGAGGAACACCAGUGGCGAAGGCGGCUUUCUGGUCUGUAACUGUCGCUGAGGCGCGAAAGCGUGGGGAGCAAACAGGGAUUAGAUACCCUGGUAGUCCACGCCGUAAACGAUGAGUGCUAAGUGUUAGGGGGUUUCCGCCCCCUUAGUGCUGCAGCUAACGCAUUAAGCACUCCGCCUGGGGAGUACGGCCGCAAGGCUG
rnacentral:rRNA from 1 species